rnacentral:rRNA from 1 species
GCAAGUCGAGCGGAAACGAUGAUAGCUUGCUAUCAGGCGUCGAGCGGCGGACGGGUGAGUAACGCGUAGGAAUCUGCCUAGUAGAGGGGGACAACAUGUGGAAACGCAUGCUAAUACCGCAUAAUCCCUUAGGGGGAAAGGAGGGGAUCACGUGUGACCUUGCGCUAUUAGAGGAGCCGGCGUAAGAUUAGCUAGUUGGUGGGGUAAAGGCCCACCAAGGCGACGAUCUUUAGCUGGUCUGAGAGGAUGGUC